UCUUUAUAUUUUUUUAGCAAAUGCUCGUUCGGUUUUAGGUUGGGGUGACCAUGGAGUAAAAAAUAACCUCCACGAAAAAAGGCAUAAAACCCUUAUCAAAGAGCCACAUCUCUAUGAAUUAGUAAACUAAUUUCUGAUGAUCCGAUAUUCGAUCAACGAACCAAGUUACCCUGGGGAUAACAGCGCAAUCCGCCUUAAGAGCCCCUAUCGACAGGCGGGUUUACGACCUCGAUGUUGGAUCAGGGUAUCCCAGUGGUGCAACAGCUACUAAAGGUUCGUUUGUUCAACGAUUAA
rnacentral:rRNA from 1 species